UGGGGAAUUUUGGACAAUGGGCGAAAGCCUGAUCCAGCAAUGCCGCGUGUGUGAAGAAGGCCUUCGGGUUGUAAAGCACUUUUGUCCGGAAAGAAAUCCUUGGCUCUAAUACAGUCGGGGGAUGACGGUACCGGAAGAAUAAGCACCGGCUAACUACGUGCCAGCAGCCGCGGUAAUACGUAGGGUGCAAGCGUUAAUCGGAAUUACUGGGCGUAAAGCGUGCGCAGGCGGUUUGCUAAGACCGAUGUGAAAUCCCCGGGCUCAACCUGGGAACUGCAUUGGUGACUGGCAGGCUAGAGUAUGGCAGAGGGGGGUAGAAUUCCACGUGUAGCAGUGAAAUGCGUAGAGAUGUGGAGGAAUACCGAUGGCGAAGGCAGCCCCCUGGGCCAAUACUGACGCUCAUGCACGAAAGCGUGGGGAGCAAACAGUAUUAGAUACCCUGGUAGUCCACGCCCUAAAACGAUGUCAACUAGUUGUUGGGGAUUCAUUUCCUUAGUAACGUAGCUAACGCGUGAAGUUGACCGCCUGGGGAGUACGGUCGCAAGAUUAAAACUCAAAUGAAUUGACGGGGUCAUAGCUGUUUCCU
rnacentral:rRNA from 1 species